AAUCUCAUUUUAAUCGCGCAUUCAAAAAAGUUUUCUUUUUUGCAAAGCGCUCGUGCGGCUGGACGAGAACAUUCCAUAGAGAACGUUAAUGCUGAGGUGAUUUAGUUUGUUUAGCGCACGCGCCAUGGCUCAUAAACAAAUCUACUACUCAGAUAAAUACACCGACGACCUCUACGAGUACAGGCAUGUCGUUUUGCCACGCGAGUUGGCCAAGCAAGUGCCCAAGUCCCACCUGAUGUCUGAAGACGAAUGGAGGAGGCUUGGUGUUCAGCAAUCCCUCGGAUGGGUGCAUUACAUGAUUCACGAUCCUGAACCGCACAUCCUGUUAUUUAGAAGGCCUCUUCCGAAGCAGCAGUGACACUGAGACCCACUGAUUCUCUGGAGCCUUCCUGCGGAUUAUUCUGCAGAAGAUGGUGCUGUGAUGCCACUGAUAAUAUUUACAGUGUCUCUCAGAAGUCUCUAGUUUCUUCCAGUUAUUAAAAUGUCUCUCAUGCUCGGUGAGGGCGGCUCUCCACUGGUUCAGCUCUUCUGACACGGUGUCGGCUUCAUCUGUGAAAACACACACAACAGAUUCUACCUGGAGAGCAACUGUGUACGGUGGUCUGAGAAAACCCACUUGGUCAAAAUGAUUUUUUUUCUACUUAUAAAAUACCGUUUAUGUCGAUAUGAAGACACCAUAAAUACAUAUUAAAGGGUCUUAUUGCUUUAUUUCUUUUACAGCAUCAGUGUGUUAGAGGAACCCAAGGAACCAAGGGCCCACAGGAAGAUUAAAUGACAGACACAUCUGAUGGCCUCCAGACUCGAGCGUAACAGAAUUUCAUCCCCGACUGAACUGUUCAUCUCUUCUAAUAGGACCCAUUACCUCUGCUGCUGAGUCGCAGAUCGAUUUUUGACGUGUCAUUUCCUGCCCCUGACACGGCGCUGCACUGGUAUUGUGUGUCUUUACUCAGAGGCUCCUCCCUCACCCAGCUGCUCACCAGCACAUCACCAGCACAGAGGGCGUGUCUGUACUCCGUGACCGGCGUCUCCAGUCUCCGCCCGUUCGAGUGCCACUGAAGGCUAACGUCACCAGGACCUGAGGAACAAACGGCACUUACACACGAACAAAACACACUCGGCACUCGCAAAGCUUCAGCUCUUACCACAUGCUUCAUUCUCAGCUUCAACAGCUACGUGCUUUAGGUGAAACCAAGCGAGGAAGCAAUCGGGUUAAAAAAAAUAAACACACACAUGCGUAAAUACGGUACAUCAGUAGGUGAUCCACAAUAUUAAAUGUAACUGUAAAGGGAUAAAAAUGUACCUUUAUUCUUUAACAAAUGCAAAUUGUUGACAGAUCGCUGUUGUAUAAGUGGAAUAAAACAUGUCAGAAAAUAAUCAACUCGUUCUGUAGGGCUCGUUUAAGAAGUAGUUUAAACCAACCGGCGUGAAGUUUUCCGUCGAAACCCGAUUUGCAGGAACAUUAUGGGAUGUAACUGAAAAUUUCCUGUACUGCAGCUUCAUGAUGACUUCAGAGCGAACGUGUUAAUCGUGACACGUCCCGCUUCCGACGUCCGAGAAGACGUUUGUUUACGAUUUACAAUCUCCGAUACGAGCGAAAGGAAGCAAACAGGAUCUUUAACGUCGAUUAAUUCAUUUAUUAAGGUGGCUAAAAUUGAGAGAAAACAAUAUGUACAGUCAGAAUAUACAUCUGGACUUAUAUUUACACUGUACAAGCAAAAUAAAAACAACAAGAUCAUCAUACAGAAACAGGUCAAAUGUCCAAUGUGCUCAAAGUUCAUUUUGAUGUUACUUUCUUUCUUACUUUUUUUUUAUUUUUUUUUUAAUAAUAUUUAAACAAAGGCAACUCGAACAGCAAACAUCGGAGGAAAGAAAUCUGAUUUUCCAACUGGGAAAAAAAAAAAAGAA